UCACAGCAUCAAGCUUGGCUUGUCGUUGGGCCCUUUGUCACCUGGUGACAGGUCCAAAAGAUAAUGACCGGCGUCGUAAAGACUCUAUAUGCAACGAGCUUAUAACGGCACGCAUCUGGUAGUCAUAUGGCCCGGUUAGCACCCCUUUAUUUCUCAA
rnacentral:misc_RNA from 1 species